GACGAACGCUGGCGGCGUGCUUAACACAUGCAAGUCGAACGGAAAGGCCCCUUUGGGGGUACUCGAGUGGCGAACGGGUGAGUAACACGUGAGUAACCUGCCCUUGACUUCGGGAUAACUUCAGGAAACUGGGGCUAAUACCGGAUAGGAAUCCUUGCUGCAUGGUGGGGGUUGGAAAGCUUCGGCGGUUUUGGAUGGACUCGCGGCUUAUCAGCUUGUUGGUGGGGUAGUGGCUUACCAAGGCUUUGACGGGUAGCCGGCCUGAGAGGGCGACCGGCCACAUUGGGACUGAGAUGCGGCCCAGGCUCCUACGGGAGGCAGCAGUGGGGAAUAUUGCACAAUGGGCGGAAGCCUGAUGCAGCAACGCCGCGUGCGGGAUGACGGCCUUCGGGUUGUAAACCGCUUUCAGCAGGGGCGAAGCUUGUGGUGACGGUACCUGCAGAAGAAGCACCGGCUAACUACGUG
rnacentral:rRNA from 1 species